AGCGGAGGAAAAGAAACCAACAGGGAUUGCCUCAGUAACGGCGAGUGAAGCGGCAAAAGCUCAGAUUUGAAAUCUGGCGUCUUCGGCGUCCGAGUUGUAAUCUGUAGAGGAUGCCUUUGGGUAGCCACCGGUCUAAGUCCCCUGGAACGGGGUGUCACAGAGGGUGAGAAUCCCGUAUGUGACCGGAAGGGCGCCCUAUACAUGGCUCCUUCGACGAGUCGAGUUGUUUGGGAAUGCAGCUCUAAAUGGGAGGUAAAUUCCUUCUAAAGCUAAAUACCGGCCAGAGACCGAUAGCGCACAAGUAGAGUGAUCGAAAGAUGAAAAGCACUUUGGAAAGAGAGUUAAAAAGCACGUGAAAUUGUUGAAAGGGAAGCGCUUGCAACCAGACUUGUUGGCGGUGUUCCGCCGGUCUUCUGACCGGUCUACUCACCGUCUGCAGGCCAGCAUCAUCUGGGACCGCUGGAUAAAAGCGGAGGGAAUGUGGCUCCUCCGGGAGUGUUAUAGCCCUCUGUGUAAUACAGCGAGUCCCGGGUGAGGUCCGCGCUUCGGCUAGGAUGCUGGCGUAAUG
rnacentral:rRNA from 1 species